AGGGCGGCCGGAUCGGUGGCGCGGGUGACCAGGAGGUAGUCGCGGAUCGCCAUGCCGUGCCGGCCCUC
rnacentral:sRNA from 1 species